GUCUCGCAGCCCGACCUGAGUGGAGCUCUUUUUCUUUUUCUAGAAAAGAAAAAAGCGGGAACGGAGGGCGGAAAUAGCU
rnacentral:sRNA from 1 species